CGUUGAUUUCGUCCCUGCCCUUUGUACACACCGCCCGUCGCUACUACCGAUUGAAUGGCUCAGUGAGGCUUUCGGACUGGCCCAGAGAGGUCGGCAACGACCACUCAGGGCCGGAAAGUUAUCCAAACUCGGUCAUUUAGAGGAAGUAAAAGUCGUAACAAGG
rnacentral:rRNA from 1 species